UACAGAGGUCUCAAGCGUUGUUCGGAUUCAUUGGGCGUAAAGGGUGUGUAGGUGGCGCCGUAAGUCGGGUGUGAAAUUUCGGAGCUUAACUCCGAAACUGCAUUCGAUACUGCGGUGCUUGAGGACUGGAGAGGAGACUGGAAUUCAUGGUGUAGCAGUGAAAUGCGUAGAGAUCAUGAGGAAGACCAGUGGCGAAGGCGGGUCUCUGGACAGUUACUGACGCUGAUGCACGAAGGCCAGGGGAGCAAACGGG
rnacentral:rRNA from 1 species